CCCCCUUUCCACCACCCCCCAGCAGACCCGGCAGCGCGUAUUUUUAGCCGGGACGGUGCGCGUGGGUCAGCCCUCGUGCCCCGACGCGCCGCGGUCUCCACGUGCGCAUCGCUGGCCCCGGGGUCCGCGCCAGGCUCCGCGGCCGCGCUCCAAUCCCGGUCCCGGCGCGCCCUCUGCCGGCCGCUCCCGGGGGGCGCCGGCGCCGCCUUCCUCGCGGUCCGGCCACCUGCUGCUUACACCUCCCGCCCACCCCUAGGCCCCAGCCGAGGUGACGGUUCUGUGUCCCCGCGCAGCCGGCACCGCGGAUGGAAGAAGAGAACAAAGUAGGAAAAUCAGCAGGCAAGGCCGUGAAGGAUGCAGACAUGAGCACCCUCCCCUGGGGCGGUUAAGGACCCAUGUACCAGCUCCAGGAAUGCAGAAGAGGGCAGGGCUGGGGCAAGGCGAGCACGGCCCUCCCAGUGCGGCUCCGGCGGCGGCGGAAGGUACAGAGGGAGUGAGUGAAGAUGUCAGGAGACCCCUGGAUGAAGGCGCUGAGGGAUAGACGCCUGAUGACAGGAAACGACACUUCCUUAUACAAUAGUGACAUACUCCCUAUCUCCAAGAUCAGAAAUUAGAUGCCGCAGAGAGAAGCAAUUUCCCUGUUGAGCUGCAAGGUCCUCGGGAGUAAGUUUCCGGUGAUUUACAAACGUCGAGGGGCUAGAGCCAGCCAGGGUGCGGCACCUUUGCAGAAAGGCGUCCUCCUGUGUCACUCUUUCCGUCCACUCCUGUCCAAUUGAACUUCUCUGUCUUGUGCCUCUUGUUCACGGUUUGAAAGAAAGCAAGCUACCCGCCUGUCUUCACUCUGGCCCUUUGCAGCUCCACCAAAGAAGCGCGCAGUUCCUGAAA